UAAGACGAACCGUGCGAACGUUGUUCGGAAUCACUGGGCUUAAAGGGCGCGUAGGCGGGCCGGCCAGUCCGGGGUGAAAGCCCCCAGCUCAACUGGGGAAGCGCCUUGGAUACUGCCGGCCUCGAGUGGGGUAGGGGCGUGCGGAACUUCCGGUGGAGCGGUGAAAUGCGUAGAUAUCGGAAGGAACACCGAUGGCGAAAGCAGCGCGCUGGACCCCUCCUGACGCUGAGGCGCGAAAGCCAGGGGAGCAAACGGGAUUAGAUACCCCGGUAGUCCUGGCCCUAAACGUUGGGUACUAGGUUGUGGACUUGCAUGGGUUCCCAGCCGGAGCAAAAGUAUUAAGUACCCCGCCUGGGGAGUAUGGUCGCAAGGCUG
rnacentral:rRNA from 1 species